AACGAACGCUGGCGGCAUGCCUAACACAUGCAAGUCGAACGAUUCCUUCGGGCAUAGUGGCGCACGGGUGCGUAACGCGUGGGAAUCUGCCUUUCGGUUCGGAAUAACUCAGGGAAACUUGAGCUAAUACCGGAUAACGUCGCAAGACCAAAGAUUUAUCACCGAAAGAUGAGCCCGCGUAGGAUUAGCUAGUUGGUGAGGUAAAGGCUCACCAAGGCGACGAUCCUUAGCUGGUCUGAGAGGAUGAUCAGCCACACUGGGACUGAGACACGGCCCAGACUCCUACGGGAGGCAGCAGUGGGGAAUAUUGGACAAUGGGCGAAAGCCUGAUCCAGCAAUGCCGCGUGAGUGAUGAAGGCCUUAGGGUUGUAAAGCUCUUUUACCCGGGAAGAUAAUGACGGUACCGGGAGAAUAAGCCCCGGCUAACUCCGUG
rnacentral:rRNA from 1 species